rnacentral:misc_RNA from 1 species
AGCAGCCGCGGUAAUUCCAGCUCCAAUAGCGUAUAUUAAAGUUGUUGCAGUUAAAAAGCUCGUAGUUGAAUUUCGGGGUUAGUAGGUUGGUCAUGCCUCUGGUAUGUACUGGUCUCACUGAUUCCUCCUUCCUGAUGAGCCGUAAUGCCAUUAAUUUGGUGUUGCGGGGAAUUUGGACUGUUACUUUGAAAAAUUAGAGUGUUUAAAGCAAGCUAACGCUUGAAUACAUUAGCAUGGAAUAAUGAAAUAGGACGUUCGAUCCUAUUUUGUUGGUUUCUAGGAUUGACGUAAUGAUUAAUAGGGAUAGUUGGGGGCAUUAGUAUUCAAUUGUCAGAGGUGAAAUUCUUGGAUUUAUUGAAGACUAACUACUGCGAAAGCAUUUGCCAAGGAUGUUUUCAUUAAUCAAGAACGAAAGUUAGGGGAUCGAAGACGAUCAGAUACCGUCGUAGUCUUAACCAUAAACUAUGCCGA